AGGACGAACGCUGGCGGCGUGCUUAACACAUGCAAGUCGAGCGGUAACGCGGGAGCAAUCCUGGCGACGAGCGGCGAACGGGUGAGUAAUGCUUGGGAAUCUGCCCAUUAGUGGGGAACAACCAGCCGAAAGGUUGGCUAAUACCGCAUACGCCCUACGGGGGAAAGCGGGGGAUCGAAAGACCUCGCGCUAAUGGAUGAGCCCAAGUCGGAUUAGCUUGUUGGUAGGGUAACGGCCUACCAAGGCGACAAUCCGUAGCUGGUCUGAGAGGACGACCAGCCACACUGGGACUGAGACACGGCCCAGACUCCUACGGGAGGCAGCAGUGGGGAAUAUUGGACAAUGGGGGCAACCCUGAUCCAGCGACGCCGCGUGUGUGAAGAAGGCCUGCGGGUUGUAAAGCACUUUUAGUGGGGAUGAAAAGCUCAGGGUUAACACCUCUGGGUCUUGACCUAACCACAGAAAAGCACCGGCUAACUCUGCGCCAGCAGCCGCGGU
rnacentral:rRNA from 1 species